CCCCAAAUCUUCAUCCAUCCGCUGCCACCCUUAGCCUGCACCUCCCUUCUUCCUUUCAAGCAAAGUCAAGCUCAUAGUACACUAGCUUGUCAACUCAGCCACCCUACACUCCACCUGCAGCCCCUCUUUCUUUCUUGUCAUAGGAGAGGUAGCUGCCAAUAUCCCCCUUUAAACCAAAUAAGCUAGCAACUCCCUUCACCAUUCUACACUAACUCCACGAGAAGAGCAAGUAGGAGAACUCCAUGCAUUUUCUGCCAUUAUUCAAGGUAAAUCUUAGCUUCAAUCUCCCCCAUUCUCUUCAUAUUUCAACCUGCAUUUGUUGAAGAAUACAAAUGUAUUUCAGAAAAAUCCUCAUCAGCCAUCGUUCCCAUCAAAAACAAGGAAGCAAACAACUCAAGAGAAAAUCCAGCAAGUGUGAGUCCUUCUAAAGGCUUCAUCUUGAACACCUACAUCUAUUUCAUUCUGCAUAUGAUUUAAACACCUCUCAAAUCAUAUUUCAGUAAACCACACGAGUUUAUACACCUUAUUAAGCAGUAAAUUCAUGACAUAUCAUACGAGCAUAACCAUCUCAUCAUUUCUGUAUAUAUAUGUAUGUUAUUGAAUGGGAACUAUACUAUACUGUUAUACAAGUUUGAAUGUUUUAAAGAAAGAAUUUUUAUGAGUUUACUUUCAACUUUGUGUUGCUGUGUCGAGUUGGGUAAGGAAGAAGAGUUUACCUCAUGUGGUUUAGAGUCGAGAGGUGGAGGGAGGUCAGGACGGCGGCGGCAGUCUGCUCCAUCUACUGCUGUCGCCGGAAGGCCGAGAGAGAAAGGCCGAGGGAGGCGGCGGCGUUCCGUCGUCGCCAAGGAGGAGAGAAAACAUGGGGAGUGACAGGGGUGUGCUGGAGAACGGUGGAGCGGCAGCUUAUCGCUGCUACUCGCCGGAGUCGGGGAAGAGAGCGGCUUCCGCUGCUCGUUGGCGGAAGUCAGAGAGGAGGGGGCUAGGGCACGGCGGCUCUGCCGCUAUCCUCCAGCCACGGUGAGAGAGAGAUGGACGGAGGCGGUGACCCUCUGUUUUGAACUGAGAGAGAGGGAGCUAGGGCUCGGGCGCCGCUCUUCGCGGUGGGAUGUCGGGUCCGUUUCAGCGCGAGAGAAGGGAGAACCAAGGGGCAGUGGUUGUCACCGCUCGCUCCGGCGAGCUCCGACGGCGGUGAAUUUCGAGAGGAGAGAGGGACGAGCAGAUUUUGGUGAGAAGGGGAGAGAGAUUCGAUUUCUGAGAGAGGGAGGCGUGCGUAUUGUUGAGGAAGAAGGGGGAGAAAUAAGUUUGGGCC
rnacentral:lncRNA from 1 species